UACGGGGGGAGCAAGCGUUGUUCGGAAUUACUGGGCGUAAAGGGCGCGUAGGCGGUUUGCUAAGUUGAAUGUGAAAACUCUGGGCUUAACCCAGAGCCUGCAUUCAAUACUGGCAGGCUAGAGUUCUGGAGGGGAUAGCGGAAUUCCUGGUGUAGCGGUGAAAUGCGUAGAUAUCAGGAGGAACACCGGUGGCGAAGGCGGCUAUCUGGACAGAGUCUGACGCUGAGGCGCGAAAGCUAGGGGAGCAAACAGG
rnacentral:rRNA from 1 species